GAUGAACGCUGGCGGCGUGCCUAAUACAUGCAAGUCGAGCGAACGGACGAGAAGCUUGCUUCUCUGAUGUUAGCGGCGGACGGGUGAGUAACACGUGGAUAACCUACCUAUAAGACUGGGAUAACUUCGGGAGACCGGAGCUAAUACCGGAUAAUAUUUUGAACCGCAUGGUUCAAAAGUGAAAGACGGUCUUGCUGUCACUUAUAGAUGGAUCCGCGCUGCAUUAGCUAGUUGGUAAGGUAACGGCUUACCAAGGCAACGAUGCAUAGCCGACCUGAGAGGGUGAUCGGCCACACUGGAACUGAGACACGGUCCAGACUCCUACGGGAGGCAGCAGUAGGGAAUCUUCCGCAAUGGGCGAAAGCCUGACGGAGCAACGCCGCGUGAGUGAUGAAGGUCUUCGGAUCGUAAAACUCUGUUAUUAGGGAAGAACAUAUGUGUAAGUAACUGUGCACAUCUUGACGGUACCUAAUCAGAAAGCCACGGCUAACUACGUG
rnacentral:rRNA from 1 species